rnacentral:rRNA from 1 species
GAAUUCUCAACUUGAGAGUUUGAUCCUGGCUCAGAACGAACGCUGGCGGCAGGCUUAACACAUGCAAGUCGAAC